UUCAACGCCUUUAGAACAAUGGCAGUCACAUAGUAGGUACUCAAUGUUUGGAGUACGAAUAAUGUACUCUUAUUAUUCAAAGACCAGCUAGAAAGUUACCUUCUUUGAGGGGUCUUCCUGAUAGUUACAGUGACAAGGAGACUUAAUCGCCCCCAAACACUUACCACUUUACACUGCUUGGUUGUCUCCAUUACACAACUAAUUCCCCGAGGGGAAGGAUCUUGAAUAACUGAUCUUUGUUGUAGGCGGCUAGCACAGUACCCAGAUCAUAGAGGGAACUCAGAAUCUGAUGCUGGCACUUGUAAUCAGAAAGUCUGGGCUGAGAUCCCAGUAUCUUCACUGACUGGCUUUGUGAUCUCAGGCUGGUCACUUAGCAUUUCGAACGCCGCGCUACCUACCCCGCCCACCCCAGGAGCGAACAGUGUUGCUGCCCCAAAGCGCCGAAUAGAUCGCAGAACGUAGUGGGAAAGUAAGGGACUAUUAUGAUCUGUACCCCACCCCGACGCACGCCAAGCGGCUUUUUCCCCAUUUGUGGCCAAAUUUCCCGGCAUGGGGAAGGAGCCUUAGGGGAAGCACCCGGGACCUCCUUGGCUUCUUCUGGGAGUCUAGUUUCACCUAUUUCGUUUCGCCAACAGGCGAGACGGGCAAGACUUCGGGCUCAGCUGCCACCAUCAGUACUGACCUGUCCAUGGCUAAAGCCUUUUCCACACACAACCAAAGUUGGCUGCAGUUUAGCUACCGCGUUUUAGCCUUCCCGCUCUCCGGAAGCAAGCCCUUCGACCCGGAAGCAGUCUGUCCCUAAAACAGACCCACAGAAAAGGGGUUCAGGUACUCCAUGUGAUAUAUGGUUCCACAAUCCUCAGCGUGUUAACUGAAGCCUUGUUGAGUUUAACAAAGCUGCCAUUGAAGAUCUGGGGAAAGUGAAGAAGUUGCAACAGAGUUUUGGGCUCACACCAUUGAUACAUUUGAUCCUUAAGGCCCACCCCGCCUCACUCCCACCCUCUUCUACUUAAUUCAGGAUGUGAAUAGCACAUGCCUUCCAUCUUCAGACAAACACUGAGGCCUGGACAAUGACCUGCAUUAGGUAGAUAGAAUCUACUGAAAGCUAAAAGCCUUUUCCUGUGUCUUAGCAGCACGGAAGCCACGCCUCCUUCCCCCCAAUGUUUGUGCAAACCCUAGAGAAGAGGAGACAGCCCCUAUGAUGUGUGAGGUUGAAUUUCCUGCCCUCAACCCAUCAAAUCAGGCAGAAUGAGGGCUCAGUCAGAACUACAACUACAAAAGAGAAAAAUUUUAAUGUGACUUUUCUUGUCUGCUCAGAUUUUUGGGUUAAGGUUCAUGCCAGCUACAUUCUUUGCAUAAUAAAAUAUAAAUAGAGUAUAAAUUGUUCUAGUUAGAGAAAACAGCAAAACAGUGCUCUCCCAAGGGCCCUAAUAAAUCACUUUACGCCCACCCCGCCUCACUCCCACCCUCUUCUACUUAAUUCAGGAUGUGAAUAGCACAUGCCUUCCAUCUUCAGACAAACACUGAGGCCUGGACAAUGACCUGCAUUAGGUAGAUAGAAUCUACUGAAAGCUAAAAGCCUUUUCCUGUGUCUUAGCAGCACGGAAGCCACGCCUCCUUCCCCCCAAUGUUUGUGCAAACCCUAGAGAAGAGGAGACAGCCCCUAUGAUGUGUGAGGUUGAAUUUCCUGCCCUCAACCCAUCAAAUCAGGCAGAAUGAGGGCUCAGUCAGAACUACAACUACAAAAGAGAAAAAUUUUAAUGUGACUUUUCUUGUCUGCUCAGAUUUUUGGGUUAAGGUUCAUGCCAGCUACAUUCUUUGCAUAAUAAAAUAUAAAUAGAGUAUAAAUUGUUCUAGUUAGAGAAAACAGCAAAACAGUGCUCUCCCAAGGGCCCUAAUAAAUCACUUUACAGAAA
rnacentral:lncRNA from 1 species